rnacentral:rRNA from 1 species
CAGCCGCCGCGGGAAUACGAAGGGUGCAAGCGUUAAUCGGAAUUACUGAGCGUAGAGCGCGCGUAGGCGGUUUUGUAUGUCGAUUGUGAAAGCCCCGGGCUCAACCUGGGAACUGCAGUCGAAACUGCAAGACUUGAAUGUUGGAGAGGUUGGGGGAAUACCUAGUGGAGAAGUGAAAUUCGUAGAGAUUAGGUGGAACACCAGAGGCGAAGGCGCCUGACUGGCCAAACAUUGACGCUAAGGCGCGAAAGCGUGGGUAGCAAACAGGAUUAGAUACCCGCGUAGUCCCUGUCUCUUAUAC